rnacentral:misc_RNA from 1 species
AAGGAUCAUUACAACGUAUCCACGUACAAACUCGCGAACUGUUCCCCUGUAGAGUAAACAACUUGUGGAUGAAGUUAAUGGCUGAGAGUCUCUUUUUGAUGGAUUUCUGGAUUUUUAUCUGGAACUGGGAGCUCUCAGUCGCUGGCAAGAAUUGCUGGGACUUCGUUUACUCUGCUGCGGUAUUGCCUCCCAUCAGAGGUGUUGUAUCAACCAAUUUAUUAACCCCAUGCAAAUUUUGAACUGAACUUUGUAGCCGAGUAACUGUCCUUGCUGGCUUCGGUCACGGACAUGCUCAGUUACUAUCUUUAUAAAAUAAAGAACAACUCUUAACAACGGAUAUCUUGGUUCUC